CAAUUUUUUAUUAUGGAUUAAAUAUAUACGUUAUGUACUUUAUCAUCGUAAAAUAAAUUAAAUAUGGGGCAACAGGCAAUCUUUCCGCACAAAAGUUGUAACAAAUUUCUAUGAACAUCACCACUGUGGCGAGCAAGGCGCCGUUUCGUGGCCACCCUGUAUUAUCUGCAAUAUUUAAAAAAUAUUCCUGUUAUGCAGUUAAUUUCGAAUUUGUAGAAAUUAUCUGAAACGUUCCUAAAAUGUAAAUAAAUAAUCCAUGUUAUGGCAAUAGCAAGCGAAUUCAAUCAGCCAGAACAUCAUUAGUCUACAAUUACAACAACAACAAAAAACAAUAACUGAAACCCGCCUCAUCAUCGGCAGCAACAGCGGUCGCAAAUAUCAUUUACUUAAUAACCACAAAGUCAUCUGCUGUAGCCGGUUGCCAUUACAAUGCCGUUGUUCCACAGCUUAUACGCGACAUUGUAAGCGUGUGACCCAAGCAGACAACGACGACGACGACAUACAGGCAUCCCGAUAGGCAGGCAGUCAGCAACAUUCAGAUAUACUAUGCAAGAAAACAACAAAAAGUGCAAUGGCAUCACAGCUAUCAGGCUUAGCCUUGUGUCUGACAUGGUCAUAUGAUUAUCAUUGGCAAAACUGCAUCAUUAUCAUGUUAACAAUGCUAAGCAGAUGCAACAAAAACAACAACUUCAAUGAAGAUGAUGAUAUUUGUCAGCAGAAGAAGCGCUGGGCAAAACAUUUUUCCAUUCCACCAUACCAUUGAAGGCAGACGCCUAGGCGCAGUGGCCCUUAUUGCAUCGACGCGGGGAGAGAUCUACAUUUUUUUGGCAGACAAAAAUUGAAAACCAUAAACCUCCCCCUCGGGGUAUGUUUUUUUUUAGAGUGUAGACCUGCCAAAGAGCUGCAUUGUCCAACCAACCAACAAAAAAACUUGUUUGACCAGCAUGUGUCUCCUCAAAGCCAAGAUGAGCAGCAGAUAUCCUUGCUACAUGGCCAUUGCCAUCAUUUCGUUUGUCCCUGCUUCUCAUUUGCCCUUGUCGUGUGGCCAAAGCGACAAUGAAGGAAAGAAAAAGGAAGCAAAAAACCAGAUUGUUGCAGUCCAUAGCAGCAACAAUUUGGAAUUGUUUGCUGGUUGGGACGUCUCUCUUACUCUCUUUUGUGAUUUUCUUUUUUUUUUUGCUUCCUUUGCUCCAAACGGAACCAUAGAAUACUUUAGCAGACGUCUUUUUUUUUGGAGUUUCUUUUUUUUGUUUUGCUCUUUACCCGUUGCCAGGCCAAGUGUUAAUGGUCUUUUUUGUUUCAUCCUAAAAUUUUUGCAUGACUUUAAUAGAAUCUGGUUUUGCUGUUGAUUUAAUAAUAAUAGCCCUGCUGCUUGUUUGUCCUUCCCAUGUUGUCCUUUCGUUGGUUUAUUGUUUCCCCAACAAGUCCUUAAUCAUAUUUUGUGAUUUUCUCUCUCUUUCAUUUUGGAUAAUUGAGGUUUGAUUUAAAAAAAGUUGAAAUUAUGGUUAUGGGGUUGUUAAACAGGACAUUUGAACUUUCGCUUUUCGUAUUAUCACCAGACCGGAAAGGAAUUAAAUAAAAACAAAGAAUGCGAAUCUUUGCUUCAAGGAGAAGGGAAGUUUUCGUAAGGAAAUCCUUGGCAGAAUUGAAAUUUCGACGUGAAAUACCUAUUUCAGCCGGGCUGAAUUGAAACAAACCUCCAUUCAGGCGAGCUGAAUUAAAACCUUUUUUAUGAAAACUCCCCAUUCUGGUGGCUGUAAUGAAGUUUUCCUACGGCAGAACCUAUUGAGCCAAUUGAACUAGAUCAAAUAUAAGUUUUUCUUUUUCAAAAUUUUAUAUUUAUUUUCCAUUUAACAUCAUUGUUUAUUGAAUAGUUCUGAAACAUAAAUAUUUA